AGUCAAGUAGCAUAGUGGUAGUGCAUCCCACUGUAAAUGGGACGACUGAUAGUCAUUGGUGGUUCGAUUCCAUCCUUG
rnacentral:tRNA from 1 species